rnacentral:rRNA from 1 species
GACGAACGCUGGCGGCGUGCUUAACACAUGCAAGUCGAGCGAUGAACCACUUCGGUGGGGCUCAGUGGCGAACGGGUGCGUAACACGUAGGCAAUCUGCCCUUCACUCGGAGACAAGCACUGGAAACGGGGUCUAAUACUGGUUCCGCGCCUCAAAGGCAACUUGGGGGUAUGAACGUUCAGGCGGUGAAGGCAGCGCUCGCGGCCAAUGAGCUUGUUGGUGAGGUAAUGGCGCACCAAGGCGACGACGGGUAGCCGGCCUGAGAGGGCGACCGGCCACACUGGGACGUAGACACGGCCCAGACGCCUACGGGAGGCAGCAGUGGGGAAUAUUGCACAAUGGGCGAAAGCCUGAUGGAGCGACGCCGCGUGGGGGAGGACGGCCGUCGGGUUGUAAACCUCGUUCAGGAGGGAAGAAGCGAAAGUGACGGUACCUGCAGAAGAAGCGCCGGCUAACUACGUGCCAGCCGCCGCCGUAACAC